UUUAGUGUUUGGGGAAGAAUUGGAAGCUCGUAUUAAUGUGUGCUGGCUACAGUAUUACGUGUAUUUUAAAGCAGUUAAGAUAUGAAAUAUUGUGUUCGCCAUAACAUUUCGUUGUUAAAAGUGCAAUAAAACGCUCAGCAUAAAAGAAAUCACGAAAAGAGUGGAAAUCCUGAAAGGGAUUUGCAAAAGAGAAAUUGUUUCGUCUUCUUAAAAAAUAAAACUAUAAAAAGUGCGAAAAAGUUCUCCUCUAAAACAAAGCCGUAAAAUGUGUGCAAAAGUUUCAAGUAGGUAGUCUUCGAAAGCAAUAAAGCUGGAAAAAUGUGGAAAGUCAAAAGCAUAAAAAUUAAAA